GCCUGGGUGGCUCAGUUGGUUGAGCGUCCGACUUUGGCUCAGGUCAUGAUCUCACAGUUCGUGGGUUCGAACCCCGCGUCGGGCU
rnacentral:tRNA from 1 species